GCUGGCGGUGCGCCUUAUGCAUGCAAGUCGAGCGAAGCUUUUCAGUAGUUUACUACAGAAAAUGACUGAGCGGCGAACGGGUGAGUAACGCGUGAGCAAUCUACCUUAGUUACAGGGAUAGCCCGAGGAAACUCGGAUUAAUACCUGAUAUUCUUUAUUUCUCGCAUGAGAAUAAAAGGAAAGGUCAGCCGAACUAAGAUGAGCUCGCGUUCUAUCAGCUAGUUGGUGAGGUAAAAGCUUACCAAGGCUACGACGGAUAGCUGGUCUGAGAGGACGAUCAGCCACACUGGGACUGAGACACGGCCCAGACUCCUACGGGAGGCUGCAGCAGGGAAUAUUGUGCAAUGAACGAAAGUUUGACACAGCGACACCGCGUGUGGGAUGACGGAUCUAGGUUUGUAAACCACUUUCAGGAGGGAAGAAAAUGACGGUACCUCCACAAGAAGCCCCGGCCAACUACGUGCCAGCAGCCGCGGUAAUACGUAGGGGGCGAGCGUUGUCCGGAUUUAUUGGGCGUAAAGAGCUCGUAGGCGGUUCAACAAGUCGGUCGUGAAAGUUCAGGGCUCAACCCUGAAAUGUCGAUCGAUACUGUUGUGACUAGGAUACGGUAGAGGUGAGUGGAAUUCCGAGUGUAGCGGUGAAAUGCGUA
rnacentral:rRNA from 1 species